AACAGACACUUCCUGUACGGGGGAGGGGGCCAGGCGGCCGUUAGACAGCAUAACCGAACCCAACACCGGGGCCCAACGGCAGGGGCUUGGGCAGGAGCAAGGUCCGAGGGCUGCCAGGUCCACGCUGCUUUUAUGAGCUGUAACACUCACCGCGAAGAUCUGCAGCUUCACUCCUGAGCCCAGCGAGACCACGAGCCCACCGGGAGGAGCGGACAACUCCAGACGCACCACCUUAAGAGCUGUAACACUCACCGCGAAGGUCUGCAGCUUCACUCGUGAGCCCAGCAAGACCACGAGGACACCGGAAGGAAGAAACUCCGAACACAUCUGAACAUCAGAACGAACAGACUCCAGACGCACCACCUUAAGAGCUGUAACACUCACCGCGAGGUUCCGCGGCUUCAUUCUUGAA
rnacentral:lncRNA from 1 species